rnacentral:rRNA from 1 species
AUUGAACGCUGGCGGCGGGCCUAACACAUGCAAGUCGAACGGGGCGGCGGACGGGCGAGUGAUGCCUAGGAAUCUGCCUGGUAGUGGGGGAUAACGUAAGGAAACGGGCGCUGAUACCGUAUACUAACAGAUGGGCCUAGGGCGGAGUGGCUAGUUGGUUGGGUAAAGGCCUACCAAGGUGACGAUCCGUAGCUGGGCUGAGAGGCUGAUCAGUCACACUGGAACUGAGGCACGGUCCAGACUCCUACGGGAGUCCGCAGUGGGGAAUUUUGGACUAUUGGCGAAUGCCUGAUACCGCCAUGCCGCGUGUGUGAGGAAGGUCUUCGGAUUGUAAGGCUCUUUACGUUGGGAGGCGUUACCUACAGAAUAAGCGCCGGCUAACUUCGUGCCAGCAGCCGCGGUAAUAC